GAUGAAGAACGCAGCGAAAUGCGAUAGGUAAUGUGAAUUGCAGAAUUCAGUGAAUCAUCGAAUCUUUGAACGCACAUUGCGCCCUUUGGUAUUCCUUAGGGCAUGCCUGUCCGAGCGUCAUUGCUGCCCUCAAGCACGGCUUGUGUGUUGGGCCUCCGUCCUCCUCCCGGGGGACGGGCCCGAAAGGCAGCGGCGGCACCGCGUCCGGUCCCCGAGCGUAUGGGGCUUCGUCACCCGCUCUUGUAGGCCCGGCCGGCGCUUGCCGACACAUCAAUCUUUUUUCCAGGUUGACCUCGGAUCAGGUAGGGAUACCCGCUGAACUUAAGCAUAUCAAUAAGCGGAGGA
rnacentral:misc_RNA from 1 species